rnacentral:rRNA from 1 species
UACGUAGGUGGCAAGCGUUAUCCGGAAUUACUGGGUGUAAAGGGUGUGUAGGCGGGGAUGCAAGUCAGAUGUGAAAAUUAUGGGCUCAACCCAUAACCUGCAUUUGAAACUGUAUUUCUUGAGAGUCGGAGAGGUAAACGGAAUUCCCAGUGUAGCGGUGAAAUGCGUAGAUAUUGGGAGGAACACCGGCGGCGAAGGCGGUUUACUGGACGACAACUGACGCUGAGACACGAAAGCGUGGGGAG